rnacentral:rRNA from 1 species
CCUACGGAGUGCAGCAGUGGGGGAUAUUGCACAAUGGGGGAAACCCUGAUGCAGCAACGCCGCGGGUGGGAAGAAGGUUUUCGGAUUGUAAACCACUGUUCUUGGUGAAGAUAAUGACGGUAACCAAGGAGAAAGCUCCAGUUAACUACGUGCCAGCAGCCGCGGUAAUACGGAGGGAGCAAGCGUUGUCCGGAUGUACGGGGUGUAAAGGGUGCGUAGGCGGUCUUGCAAGUCAGACGUGAAAACCACAGGUUCAACCUGUGGACUGACUUUGAAACUUUGUGGCUUGAGUGAAGUAGAGGGAGGCUGAAUUCCCGGUGUAGCGGUGAAAUGCGUAGAGAUCGGGAGGAACACCAGUGGCGAAGGCGGCCUACUGGGCUUUAACUGACGCUGAGGCACGAAAGCAUGGGUAGCAAACAGGAUUAGAUACCCGUGUAGUC